GUCAUUCUUGCGGUUUUCCCCUAAAGGGGAGCUUAUAAGCUGAAGGUCAUUUGGAUAAGGCAAUUUGCAAAGUUUUUUCUUUUAGUUGGUCUUCAAGACUACCUCGAAUCAUCCAUCUUUUUCCAUUGUAGAUGAAUGAAUGUAACAAUAUCAUGGUAUCAUUAUGGGCAAAUUUGUCAUGAUGUGGCGAAAGGAAAUGGUAGCGCAAUGUUGAACUCAAACAGCGCACAAAGCAAAACAAAUUAAAAUCGAAUAAAAUGAUCAGCAGAUGGCGAUGAUGAUGAUGUUCUUCAGGUGGAAAGAAAUCGACAAAGCACAGUGGGACUAAAUAAAAAAUCUUUCAAGUAAUAAAAAUCCUAAUACUUAAGUAUCAGGCAGUGCAGGGGCGAGAAACCUAACACAGCCUAACAAACAGGGACCCGACUACGAACCCAUCACCGGCUUCAAGAUUCAGAAGACUAAUGUAGUUGAUGAGACCUUGAUGUGGAUAUCACAACGAUGGAACUUGUCUUUACGGUACAGGUGAAUGCUUGGCUCAAGCAGUGGAUCUCUGUGGCAUUUUGUAUACUUAGUUUGAACUUAUUGAUGUAGUCACUCACUCGCACUCCACCAUUGGAAGUAAUGAUUCUAUUGUAUAUUAAUUAUUGAUGGCGUGCACUUGGCUAUUAGAUGGUUUAUCUUGGUCAAGGUUUUCUAAAUGAAAGUUUUUAUUUGCAAGUUUUUCAAUUAACUUUGAUUGAGAGGCUAACAAAUAAGGAAAGAACCAUAAGGGUACGCACAAUAGAGUAAAGCGGUUAGUGCUGGCUAAUGCAAGAUAUAUAACAAUACAAGGGUGCUGAAAGCCAACAUCAACAUCUCCGAACAGAAUUGCACAGUACGUUACUCAAAUUAACACUCCUCAGCUAAAAGCCAGAAGUGGCAUGUCGGAA